UACGUAGGGGGCAAGCGUUGUCCGGAAUCAUUGGGCGUAAAGAGCGUGUAGGCGGCUCGGUAAGUCCGCUGUAAAAGUCCAGGGCUCAACCCUGGAAAGCCGGUGGAAACUGUCGAGCUAGAGUCCGGAAGAGGCGAGUGGAAUCCUGGUGUAGCGGUGAAAUGCGCAGAUAUCAGGAGGAACACCAAUGGCGAAAGCACUCUGCUGGGCCGACACUGACACUGAGAGACGAAAGCUAGGGGGAGCGAAAUGGGG
rnacentral:rRNA from 1 species